UACGGAGGGAGCUAGCGUUGUUCGGAAUUACUGGGCGUAAAGCGCACGUAGGCGGCUUUGUAAGUUAGAGGUGAAAGCCCGGGGCUCAACCCCGGAAUUGCCUUUAAGACUGCAUCGCUUGAAUCCAGGAGAGGUGAGUGGAAUUCCGAGUGUAGAGGUGAAAUUCGUAGAUAUUCGGAAGAACACCAGUGGCGAAGGCGGCUCACUGGACUGGUAUUGACGCUGAGGCGCGAAAGCUAGGGGAGCAAACGGG
rnacentral:rRNA from 1 species